rnacentral:rRNA from 2 species
CGACUCUCGGCAACGGAUAUCUCGGCUCUCGCAUCGAUGAAGAACGUAGCGAAAUGCGAUACUUGGUGUGAAUUGCAGAAUCCCGUGAACCAUCGAGUCUUUGAACGCAAGUUGCGCCCGAAGCCUUCGGGCCAAGGGCACGUCUGCCUGGGCGUCACGCA